rnacentral:rRNA from 1 species
UACACUCCUGCGGGAGGCAGCAGUGGGGAAUUUUGGACAAUGGGCGAAAGCCUGAUCCAGCAAUGCCGCGUGAGUGAAGAAGGCCUUCGGGUUGUAAAGCUCUUUUGUCAGGGAAGAAACGGUGAAAGCUAAUAUCUUUUGCUAAUGACGGUACCUGAAGAAUAAGCACCGGCUAACUACGUGCCAGCAGCCGCGGUAAUACGUAGGGUGCAAGCGUUAAUCGGAAUUACUGGGCGUAAAGCGUGCGCAGGCGGUUUUGUAAGUCUGAUGUGAAAUCCCCGGGCUCAACCUGGGAAUUGCAUUGGAGACUGCAAGGCUAGAAUCUGGCAGAGGGGGGUAGAAUUCCACGUGUAGUAGUGAAAUGCGUAGAUAUGUGGAGGAACACCGAUGGCGAAGGCAGCCCCCUGGGUCAAGAUUGACGCUCAUGCACGAAAGCGUGGGGAGCAAACAGGAUUAGAAACCCGGGUAGUCCCAUG